GUGGGAGCGGAUAUAGCCCAUGAUUCCGCCCCCUCCCGCCUUGCCUGGGGGUCAAGGGGUCGCAGGUUCAAAUCCUGUCGUCCCGACCA
rnacentral:tRNA from 1 species